rnacentral:rRNA from 1 species
UCUCGUUAAGGAACUCGGCAAAAUGACCCCGUAACUUCGGGAGAAGGGGUGCUCUGUUAGGGUGCAAGCCCGAGAGAGCCGCAGUGAAUAGGCCCAGGCGACUGUUUAGCAAAAACACAGGUCUCUGCGAAGCCGUAAGGCGAAGUAUAGGGGCUGACGCCUGCCCGGUGCUGGAAGGUUAAGAGGAGCGCUUAGCGUAAGCGAAGGUGCGAAUUGAAGCCCCAGUAAACGGCGGCCGUAACUAUAACGGUCCUAAGGUAGCGAAAUUCC